UACUUCAGGAUGUACUUAGCCAUGGUCUUACUCGGAGCCACUCACGGGCUGAUAUUUCUUCCUGUCUUACUCAGCUACGUAGGACCGUCGGUAACUAAAGCUAAAAGACAGACCACUCAAGAUCGAUACAAAGGGACAGAGCGAGAACGGCUCCUCAAUUUUUAGCCUUGUAGCGGGCUUUGGUGACUUCGUCUAUGGAUAGGUCAAGUCUACUGCAGGACAGCCACACUGUCCAGGCCGUGCUGGGUGCUGGUUGUUCCCAGGCGAUGGGCUGUGUCACAGCUGUGGCAGGUGCAGCCCACCCACCAUUUAAACUCAGGAGCUCAUGUAGUAUGGAAUCUGAAGGUGACAGUCGUCAGCCCUACAGCAAAGAAACCUUGUCUCGGGCAAGAGGAAGGACAGUGGAUGCGACCCAAUCACACUUCUGACAAGCCAGUCCAUGUGCUGUCUCCUCUUUUCAGGAGUCAGCCACCACACACAUUGUAUAGCUUAUUUUUAGCAACAUUUGAGAAUGUUGUAGGUACUUUAUUACAACAUUUUGUAGUUUAAAGAGCUUUAUUAAUGCAAUAAAUUAACUUUGUACAUUUUUAUAUUAAAAACUGUCAAGGGACUUCAGAAUGUUGUAGGCCUCAUUAGAGCUUGUUCUCCAAAAACCUGCUUGAAAAAGGCGACGUGCUCUUCACAGUGUUCUCCUGUAGGGAGAAUGGCUUCAGUCACCAGCCAGCGGUGUGUGGCGUGGAAGGAAAUGCAGACAAAAAGCUCCUGGCUUAUAUACUGAUAUACUGGGUUUUAACUUAUUUUUCUUUAAUAAAAUACCUCAUCCUCCUAAA